rnacentral:rRNA from 1 species
UGAAUACGAGACGCUAAGGCGUCGAAGUAGUGUAUAUCAGACUUCCAAGAAAAGCUUGCACUGUCAUAGAUAAAAAAUGCCUGUACCAUAACCGACACAGGUGGGUAGGUAGAGUAUACUAAGGGGCGCGAGAUAACUCUCUCUAAGGAACUCGGCAAAAUAACUCCGUAACUUCGGGAGAAGGAGUGCCUUAUUUAUAAGGUUGCAAUAACAAGAUCCAAGCAACUGUUUAUCAAAAACACAGGUCUCCGCUAAGUCGUAAGACGAUGUAUGGGGGCUGACGCCUGCCCAGUGCCAGAAGGUUAAAGAAGUUGGUUAGCAAUUGCGAAGCUGAUAACUGAAGCCCUGGUGAACGGCGGCCGUAACUAUAACGGUCCUAAGGUAGCGAAAUUCCUUGUCGGGUAAGUUCCGACCCGCACGAAAGGCGUAAUGAUUUGGAUACUGUCUCGGAGAGGGGCUCGGUGAAAUAGACUUGUCUGUGAAGAUGCGGACUACCUGCACCAGGACAGAAAGACCCUAUGAAGCUUUACUGUAACUUGAAAUUGAAAUUGGACUUUAUUCGCGCAGCAUAGGUGGGAGGCGUUGAUUAUAAUCUUGCGGGAUUAUUGGAGCCAUCAGUGAGAUACCACUCUUGUAAUGUUAGAUUUCUAACUUUGAAUCAUUAUCUGGUCAAAGAACAGUUUCAGGCGGGCAGUUUGACUGGGGCGGUCGCCUCCUAAAUGGUAACGGAGGCGUACAAAGGUUUCCUCUGAACGGUUAGAAAUCGUAUCUAGAGUGUAAAGGCAUAAGGAAGCUUGACUGUGAGACCUACAAGUCGAGCAGGGACGAAAGUCGGUCUUAGUGAUCUGACGGUACUGAGUGGAAAGGCCGUCACUCAACGGAUAAAAGUUACUCUAGGAUAACAGGCUGAUCUCCCCCAAGAGUUCACAUCGACGGGGAGGUUUGGCACCUCGAUGUCGGCUCAUCGCAUCCUGGGGCGGUAGUACGUCCCAAGGGUUGGGCUGUUCGCCCAUGAAAGCGGUACGCGAGCUGGGUUCAGAACGUCGUGAGACAGUUCGGUCCAUAUCCGGUGUAGGCGUUAGAAUAUUGAGAGGAGCCUUCUUUAGUACGAGAGGACCGAGAAGGACAUACCUCUGGUGUACCAGUUAUCGUGCCAACGGUAAACGCUGGGUAGCUAUGUAUGGAGUGGAUAACCGCUGAAAGCAUCUAAGUGGGAAGCCCACCUCAAGAUAAGUAUUCUCU